rnacentral:piRNA from 1 species
UGGACAGAGAUACCCUGACAUAUACCCUGGC